GGGGGACACAGCAGACCCUUUUGUACACGAUUUUGUUCGCAUGUUGGAGAUGCACAAUUCCCAGGUUUUCAUGAAGCGGAUGCUUCUGAAUUUUGGGUUAGGAGUCAUACCUGAUUGUUAAGGUAUUCUAGUAGAUUUUACACAUGGUUCUGAGUCCUAAAGUCUAUAGAAUUGGUUUAAUCCCAGACUCUAGAAAGCAGAUUCUAUGACAUUCUUGAGCCAUCCCCCCCCCUUUUUUUUUGCCUUGGGGGUGAACCAUACAAGUCUGUAUUCCUGACCUUGGAGUACAUUUAUGUGAGGAUGGGGUGACAAGAAGCACUGUGCCUCCCUCUUCCAUUACUAGGGAAAUACCAGAACGAUAGGAAGGAAAGAUCCUAUUUAUUUGGAAAGACAUUACAUUGCCAGGAUCAUGGGGUUCUGAACUGCCUUUUGAGUAACAUCCAUCUAAUAAUAGCUGGUGUUGGAGUGGCCAACAUCUUCACUGCCAACUAUUUCUGAGCUCCCUUGUUACAUUUUUAAUGGUAAUUUAAUGCUUUGAAUAGCAAAAGAUUAACCUUUGGGAAAAGUUACUCCUUUCUUCCUAGACUUUUAACUGGUCGCAUCUAUUGAAGGCUGGGCUGAGCAUCUGUGUGAACUGGGAAUUUUCUUGUUUGCUCUUCAGAGUGGCUCAGGAUUGGGAUGGGGUGAUACCAUGUCCUGGGAUUCCUUAUGUGUGGUUUAAGUCCAGGGUGCUUUUCCACAUGUUCCCCUUAGCUCACAUCAAGAUCUCACGUCUAUUCUGUCACCUUCAUGUUCAGUACCGAGGUAUGCUCCAUUGUGAAUAAUUUAGGCCUGUAAUCUGAGGUUUCCCAGUAUGGCUACAAGUGAGAAUCAUAUCAUGUGGGACUUUGGAAAUAUUUCGUUAUCAUUUCUGUUCUACAUGUUCUUAAGAUUCUCAGUGAUUCUGAUAUUCAGCCAGGUUUGGGAACCAGUGUUUAAGAAUGUGAAAUAAGUAUUAGGUUUCCAUUUUCCAGAAAAGGAAAUUUAAGAUUCAAGAGAGAUAAAGUCACUUGAUUAGGAUUGAGUAGCUAGAAGGUGCCAAAGACAAGAUAGGAGUUGGACCCUAAAUUUAGACACUUGCUGCUGCUUUUCAGUUGAGGCCAAAGGAGAUUGUUUUAGGACAUGUUAUGUCUUUGGGGGAGUGUGUGUUCUACUGGCAGAUGGCUCGGCCCAUAGUGGCUACUUAUUUGUUGAGUAAGUGAACACGAUUAUUAUACGAUUUGACACGCUGCCAGAGUAGAAAUAAGUUAAAACUCGAACAGAGGGGGCUAGAUUUUGAAAGAUACAUGGUCAUUUCCAGGCUGAGUCAGGGGCAGCUAUUGUUUUUAGGUAGAGGAAAGAAGAAACCCGGUAAGAACAAGAAGUUUUGGGAAGAGGGAACUGGUUGGGUAUAGAAUACAGCUAGGGAGUGGCAGGGAAAGGCUGGACAGGUAGAUGGGGGCUUAAUCUCAACAAGCCUUUUGUGACAUCACUUGUACUUCAUUUUGUGGGCAAUGGGGGGACUAUUGGAAAGUAACUGGCUGUAGCAGAGGAAAUUGGGGGAGAAGGCUGGGCAAGGAGAAACUGCAGCCAAAGCUAGCAGUUUAGGGUCUGCUGCUGUGGUGCAGGUUUAAGAUAAGGUCACCUGAGGCAGUGGUACUACGGCUGGGUUAUAGAUAGGGACCUCAGAAUCGCUGGGACUGAAUGAGGAAGAGGAGCCAGGGCUUAGAUCAAGGGGUUUCCUUUGUAAUACUUGUAAUACUUCAUCCCUAGAAACAAGACAGGUGGAUGCCAUUUAUGCGCAUUGUUGGUGCAACACAGACAAUUAGAUGCUUGGACCAGCCUGAAAAUCUAACCACUAUUUGUAAAUCACGUCUCCAGCCCUUUUUAUUUUUUAUUUUGAGACAGGGUCUCUCUAAGUUGCUUAGGGCCUUGCUAACUUGCUGAGGCUGGCUUUGAACUUAUGAUCCUCCUGCCUCAGCCUCCCAAGUCACUGGGAUUACAGAUCUGCACCCAGCUUGUAAGCAUAUUUCUGUGGAAAAAUACAUUAUGGACUCCAAAAUCACCAACCUUAGGGCAGCUUAAUGUUUCACCAAAAUUAAGGGCUCAAUCUAUACCUGUAGGCAAGGUUAAAUGUCACCUCUGGUGGCCCACUGGUGCCUCAUCUCUGCUUAGUGACACUCAUCAUUUGCUUAUUCUCCUGUGGUCGGUAGGCAUCAGUCAGGAUAGACUACGUAUUCACAGCUGUAUCAAGGCUUAGCACAAGUCAUAUGCAGGUACUUAAGUCUGUUUUGCAGUGAACUGAGAUUUGGGCUGGAUCACAAGUUGCAUAGGGAUUUGAACUGUUCAGGGAGAUGGCCUAGUCUCCCAGGAACAUUAGGGUUUUGUCACUUGUGUAAGGUAAUGAUAGUCUCCUGAAACAGGAUAUUAGAAGAGGUUGGAGAUAAUGGAAAAAUGAAUUCAAAAUGCUUAAAAAAAAAAAAAAAGCAUCCAUGUACAUUGUAUAAUUAUCUGCUACUAGGUAUGAGUACUUGGGGUGUUGGGACAAAAGGGGGCUGGUAUAGAUUGAAGGCAACAAGAACAUUUGGGAAGAUUAAUUGAAGGUAUAAAUUUAGCUCUCUGUCCCCUGAGGAAUUCCCCAUGGCCUGUAUAAAUGUACAUGUAUUAAAUUCAUCAUCAUGUACGUCUACAAGAUACUAAUUAAAAAAAAAAAAACAAAACAACCAAAUAACUUUAAGUAAAUAGCAGAUCAGUAGAGUGGAGGGAAAGGAACCAAAAGAGGAAAGGAGGGAAAAGGAGGGUACUGGGGAGGCAUUCGAAAAAAUUCCAUGAUUUUUAAAAAAUAUUUCUUUUAGUUGUCAAUGGACUUUGUUUAUAUGUGGUGCUGAGCAUCAAACCCAGUGUGUCGCACAUACUAGGCAAGGGCUCUACCACUGAGCUACAACCCCAGCCCUUUUUAAAUUAUGUCAAAGUGAAUCCUAAUGUUACGUAUAACUAAAAAGAAUCAGUAAAAAAUAAUAAAAGCAACUGUAAAUGAUGCCACAUUAUGGGCUGAAAAUACCCUUGGGGAGUGCGGAACCGAGUUUGGGUGAAUGGCGCAAGGCUCAUUUAGGAAAUGUUUACCAAGCUUAAUUUGUCAUUUGAAGCCUUCACCUGACCCAGAUGAAUCUGAUCUCUUUGUCAGUGUGUCAGCCUUUUCCUGAGGGCUGGCACUGGUACAGUGAGUGUCCUUGUUCAUGAAGGGCAAUCGUGGUUAGCUUAAGGGAGCCUUUGGAUUUUGAUAUCUUGAUAUACAAAUAGUAAAUGUGUCUCUAGGAGUGGAAGAUCCGUCAGCCUCCUAGCCGAGCCCUCUUCACCCUAUCCCAGACGUUCUUCCUUAGAGGUGGCGCAGACCCCUUAAUGGAGAGCGGGACUGGGGCUUUUCAUGGUCACAUGUAUUGGGUAGUGAUCUUUGCUCAGAAGAGCUCUGGUUAAAUUAAGCAAAAAUGGAAUUUAUUGGAAGGAUACAGAAUAUAGAUUAGCUCACUGGUUCCAAGGACCUGCUGAGGAACCUCACAUGGAAAAGGGGACCCAGAGAGCAGACUUUGAUCUCAUCACAUCUCUAGCUGAGCUAAAACAGCUCUCCUUUUAAUUCUAAUACUGUUUCUUCAACUCCUGAGCCUCAUUAACCCAGCUUGGACCUUGUGCUUUUCUUGUGACUAGGAAUUCGGAAAAAGCACUGGACUGACGGUACCAUUAUGACUACCACGACUGGGGCGAGGUUACUUUCCAACAACACAUCAAAGUGGUCUUGCCUUACGAAGGAAGAAGCGGAUGUUGGAUCCUGAAGAGCCUCACCUGGCCAGUUAGGGCAUGUCAACUGCAUGUUUGGCCUCAUGGAGUAGUCUCUGUUUUGCUAGUUUGUUCCAACCCAGGAAUAAGGCAGUAUUUCCUCCCAUUCCCUCCCUCUAACUCUGAACACUAAGCAUUAGCAAGCAAUCACAUUUUGCUAAGGAUUUCAAGGGGAGAGGGUGGAGGGAGUUGACAUUAAACAUUUCAGGGUGCCUGCCUGCACUUGAGCGCAGGUACUAUGUCUUGGUUUACCAUUACAUCCCCAAGUACCUGGCAUGUGGUUUGGCAUGAGGGGUUUUUGAGAUAAAUAUUUGUUGAAGGAACGUAUACAUUUCUUAACCUAAAUUUCUCUUAGCUAUUGUGUUAGCUUUUUGUGCUGUGACAAAACACCUGGAGAAAAGCAAUUUAAAGGAGGAAAGAUUUAUUUGGCUCAUGGUUUCAGAGGUUUCAGUCUAUGGACAGCCAGCUCCAUUGUUUCUGGGCCUGUGGAGAGGCAGAACAACAUGGCAGAAGGGUGUGGUGUAGCAAAGCUGCUUCCUAUGGUGGCUGGGAAGCAGAGAGAGAGAGAGAACAACAUAAGUCCUUCAAAAUCAUGCACCUUUUCCAACUAGUUUCCAACUUCUAAAAUUCUCACCACCUCUCAAUACUCCCAAUAGUACCACCAGGUGGAACCAAGCCUACAACACAUGUCUUUGGGGGACAUUCCAGAUCCAAAUGUAACAGCUAUUCCCUCUUUUGCUUUCCAUCCUUCCCCUAUAUGACCUUUCCAGGCCUCUCUAUAUUUUGGUUGACUUAGCUCUGACCCCAAACUUCUGUGUUCAGCAAAACAAAAGCCUUAUAGAUAGAUCCACCCACCUCAGAAAGGCUUAUCGAAGUUACUACAUAUAAAACAGAGUAGGUCAGGGAAGAAGUGAAUUUGCUAAAAAUCUUAAGAUUCUUUUCUUUUCUUUCUUUCUGAUUGAACCCAGAGGCAUUUAACCACUGAGCCACAUCCCCAGCCACCCCACCACCACUCUUUUUUAAGAUUUUGAGAUGGGAUCUAAGUUGCUUAGGUAGGCCCUUGCUAAGUUGCUGAGGAUGACUUUGAACUUGGAUCCUCCUGCCUCAGCCUCCUGAGUUGCUGGGAUUAUAGGCAUGUCCCAUCAUAUCUAGCAAGAUUAUUUCUUUUUUUAAAAUUUUUUCUUUAGUUAUAGAUGGACAUAAUAUCUUUAUUUUAUUUUUAUGUGGUGCUGAGGAUCAAACCCAGUGCCUCACACAUGCAAGGCAAGUGCUCUGCCACUGAGCUACAGCCCAGUCCAAUAUUAUUUCUUUAUGUACAUCCUCAGGAUUCUGCUAUGCCCCCUGUUGUGGGUUGAAUGGGGGUACCAAAAUAUGUACAUAUCUUCAUUCCCAGAACCUAUAUGUUUGGAAAAACAGGCAUUUACAGAUGUAAUUAAAUAAACGUUUUGGUGGUCAUCCUGUGUUAUCCUGGUGGGCCCUGAAUCUAGUGACAAGUGUCCUGUGAGACACAUGGGAGAUGUGACAGAUGGAAGAGGCAAAUACGGACCUAUAGAGGAGAAGGCUGAUGUGGAGAUGGAGACAGAGAUUGGAGUGAUGUGGCCACAAGCCAAGGAAUGCCUUCCAGGAACUGGAAGAGCAAAGGAACAGAUUCUUUGUAGAACUUUGGAGAAAAAUUGGUCCUGCUGACAUCUUAAUCUUGUACUUCUGGCCUCCAGAACUGUGAGAAAAUAAAUUAUUUUAC
rnacentral:lncRNA from 1 species